rnacentral:snRNA from 1 species
AUUGCCUCUCUCUGCGUUAUUAUAAGAUGUGUUAAGUAGUACUAUUCUUAUCAGUUUAAUCCCUGUUACAUCCCCUAUCAGGGGACGUGUAUAUGGCAUCGAUUUUAGGAACCGGGAGAUGGAAAAAGAUGCUUUGUCGGUCCUCCUACUUCAAAUUUGGUGCACAGUGUGUGCAAUCUAAUGUGCCACCACACAUUUUUU